UUGUCGAAGAGUGAUCACUUGUCAUACACAAUUGUUUCAAUCCUAGAUUGAAACAGAGACCAAUUGCUUAAAAAAGGAAAUAAAAACUCAGUUUGUUUUAAUCAGAUUUAUUUUAGGUUAUGCAAGGUAGAUGUAACUCCAUUGAAGUGCAUAGACUUACACUAUUGUGCAAUGAAUGUGAAUUGGAAUUAACUCACUGAAACCAUUAAGAGAGUAUUACAGUUGUGAAUGUAUGAAACAAAGUGACAGACGCUUAUAAAAAUUUAAAAUAUAUUUGCUAGGUUCAUCGAUUUUAUCCUUGUUACUGAAGUAGACCCGUGGCUUGCAAAGCAAGUUAAUGAUUUGCAGAAAUACGUGUUCUUACUUAAAAAAAAAAAAAAGAAAAAGAAAGAAAGAAAGAAAAAGAAAAGAGGAAAUGGAAAGAACAAAAAACGGAACAGUCCCCGUUCAUGGAUGAGGAAAUCAAUACAUUUGCUUCAGCCAUAAUGGCUCUGUUUUGGUCAGCAGCUUGCUCCUUGCUGCCCGGACUCCACAACUACCAAAUCCAACACAGAAGUCUAGGAAAAAUCAUCCUUUCUGUCCAAGUAGAAACCUGGCUCUGUGGCUGCAUCCUAUUCUAAGUCUCCUGCUUGCUGAGUUCUGCAAACUAACAGACUCUGCUCGCCGAGUGUGCUCAGUUGCUUUGUGCUGUCUUCCCUUCUUCCAGAACUGCAGUAGCUAAGGCAGGACUAACAGUUUCUGCCCUCAUUCUUUGGAGCAAGUUUGCACAUUGCUGGGAAAUUUCUCCCACAUUUUGUGUUGGCAGACAACAAGCUGAAGCAAUCAAGUUAGAGGCUGCAUGGUUUUCCAUGUGUAACUCGGUAUGUGCCCUUAGUCCAUACAGGUGAUGAAACCAAAUGUCUU
rnacentral:lncRNA from 1 species